UCAUUUCAACAGCGUAUAUACUAAACUUGGAAUUAUAAGGGAAGAUUAGCAUGACCCCUGCCCAAGCAUGAUACACAAAUUCAUGAAAUGUUCUAUAUUUUU
ensembl:snRNA U6 U6 spliceosomal RNA